rnacentral:rRNA from 1 species
UACAGAGGUCCCAAGCGUUGUUCGGAUUCACUGGGCGUAAAGGGUGCGUAGGUGGCGGAUUAAGUCGGGUGUGAAAUCUCCGGGCUCAACCCGGAGGGUGCGCUCGAAACUGGUCUGCUAGAGGAUGGGAGGGGAGACUGGAAUUCUCGGUGUAGCAGUGAAAUGCGUAGAUAUCGAGAGGAACACCGGUGGCGAAGGCGAGUCUCUGGACCAUUCCUGACACUGAGGCACGAAAGCCGGGGGAGCAAACAGG